UCUCAAGAUGAUGGACAAACUGUCUAUUCUGCUGACAGCACUCUGUCUGCCCUGUUUGAAUGGUCAGGCUUUGGAGUCCAUUCCCUCCACUUCAGUGUUGAAAAAACCUCAAGAAGCUCUCAGUAUUUCUUGCAAAGGAACUGGAUUUGAUUUCAGCCAGUAUGGAAUGCACUGGAUCAGACAACCUGCAGGAAAAGCACUGGAAUGGAUUGGUGUUAUUUGGUACGAUGCCAGUAAAACUGUUUAUGCCAGCAGUGUACAAGGACGUAUAGAAGUCACCAGAGACAAUAGCAACAGCAUGUUGUUUCUGAGACUGUCCAAUCUAAAGCCAGAGGACUCCGCUGUGUAUUACUGUGCCAGAGACACAGUGUUGUUUGUAAGCAGAAAGGCUUUACAAAAACCUCACACUGCUUAUUUUUACAAUUACCAACAGGGGGCAGCAGAAGCUCUCUAAUGUUAUGACGAACCACGAUACCCACACAUACAGAAGAAAAAACAUUGUGAAAACUGCAGCUGAGGUUGUGGUUUGUAACUUCCUCUUUUUAAAAUUGUUUUUUACCAACAUGUGCUUUUUUAAAAUGAUGUGCUGGUUAAUGCUAUUCCAUCUGUUACUUUGUGAGGCAGGUGCAAAGCAUAUAUGUUUAUAUUUCAGCUGAUAAAAGAAGAAAUUGUAGCUAAAUUAAGAUUGAAAAGACAUAAAUUAAACACAUAAUGAAUGAAGAAACUAGAAUUACCAGCUUGCAGUUGUAUGCUUCCAUGGACCAGUCAAGUUGCACUCAUAGUUUGCAUCCAUGUCUGUGAAAACAUGGAUGCUUCACACACAUCUUCAAUCAG